UUAUCCGUGGCAACUCGGUCGUGAGGACUGCUAGCACUUANCUGGCUUUCUUUGCAAUUCCAGGUCUAUGUUUUUCAUAUACCCCAUUGUAUGUAACAGAAUGUAUCAUUGGGCCCUUGUGCCUAUAAACCUUAUACAACUUUCAGCAACGGAUCUCUUGGCUCUCGCAUCGAUGAAGAACGCAGCGAAAUGCGAUAAGUAAUGUGAAUUGCAGAAUUCAGUGAAUCAUCGAAUCUUUGAACGCACCUUGCGCUCCUUGGUAUUCCGAGGAGCAUGCCUGUUUGAGUGUCAUUAAAUUCUCAACCAUUAUCAACUUUUGCUGAUAUUGGCUUGGAUGUGGGGGUUUAUUUUGCUGGCUUCUCAUAUAGUCAGCUCCCCUUAAAAGCAUUAGCCGGUGCCCCGCGUGGACUGUCUAUUGGUGUGAUAAUUAUCUACGCUAUAGACAUCUGCAAUCAUAUGGGUUUGCGCUGCUUCUAACAGUCUGUUGAUUCAGACAAUACAUGACAAUUUGACCUCAAAUCAGGUAGGACUACCCGCUGA
rnacentral:rRNA from 1 species